rnacentral:rRNA from 1 species
UACGGGGGGGGCAAGCGUUGUUCGGAAUUAUUGGGCGUAAAGGGCCAGUAGGCGGCCAACUAAGUCCGACGUGAAAUCCUCAGGCUUAACCUGGGAACUGCGUCGGAUACUGGAUGGCUUGAAUUCGGGAGAGGGAUGCAGAAUUCCAGGUGUAGCGGUGAAAUGCGUAGAUAUCAGGAGGAAUACCGGUGGCGAAGGCGGCCUUCUGGACGAUGACUGACGCUGAGACGCGAAAGCGUGGGGAGCAAACAGG